GUCGGUAUCGAUUAGGGGUCAAAUCACCUCGUUGUGGACUUACUUACGUAAUCCCGAGGAGCCGCAAGUUCGAAUCCUGCUACCGACA